GGCUGUUCGCAAACAGGAUGUCUAAAUUUGCGAUGUUGCAAGGGAUCAGUGUACUUCUGCAACCUGUGCUGCGGUGGAGAUGGGCAGUGAUAUUGGUGUCUGUAUAGAAACUUGCUUACAUGUCUAACCCCUUGCAGUGUAAUGCAACAAGUGAUCAAGCUUAUGUUGUCCAAGAGGAUAGAACACAUCUAGUUGUUUAUUUUUACUUCUGACUCUGAGUUGCAGGUCUCCAUGCCUUUGUUAAAACAUUAUUUGAUUUGUACUGAGUAAUGCUUGGGAUUUGUUUCCAGAUGCUGUUAAUUGUGAUCUUGAUGCCACAAAAAAUGAAGUGACCACUUGGUGCUAUACUGCUAUCAAUGUAAUUUGCAUACAUUUGGCAUGUGGCAAGUGCUUGGUAAAUUAUGUUAUGGUAAUCAAGGGGA
rnacentral:lncRNA from 1 species